rnacentral:tRNA from 1 species
GGCGGUGGCCUAAUGGUUAGCGCGUUGGACUCCGAAUCGAGUGGUCCGAGUUUGAGCCCUGGUUGGGGUCA